rnacentral:lncRNA from 1 species
AGCAAUCAGCCAUACUUUUGUUAAAUCAAUCACAUGCAAAUCAAUAUUUUACAACAAUCAAUCCACUUGGAAAUUUCCUCACAAGCUCUUCUUCAUCCCUGAAGUGCGCAACAACCAUAGGUAAAUUCCUCUCAACUUUGAGAUUUCUCCAUCUCAUUCUUAGUUUCUCUGCAUAUAUUGAAGAGAAGCAAAAAUCUGAAAUAUUGUGCAGUGAUUCCAGCAAACAAGCAAAUUCAGAAUCAGGCAGCAACCAUUUCACAUCCUAAAUACCUAAAGGUUUCCUCUCGAGCCCUUACCUCAUUUGCUCGACUGUUAAAAAUCAAGCUCUUCAUAUGUGCCAUUCCAGUAAACCAAUAUACACAACAAAACAUUCAAGCAUUUCAAUAGUAUGACUUUCAUUAUUACAUAUACAUACAUGAUAGCAUGAUUCAUUGAAAAGAAAAGAUUUUAUUUUGAAGCAUAUCUAUUAAUAAGAAUAAAGAAAAAGUCUUGAAUUUGAUUUUUGAUUGCCGAGUUCAAAUGUUGGAGUGUCUGGUUGGGUCUGCUGAGUCGGGGAGGAUGAGAGUUGUAUUUGUGUGAGCCGAAGGAGAGGACGGCGGUGGCCUUCAUGGUUGCUCGCCGGGAAUGGUGUGCUGACGGUGGUGGCGCGGAGCCACUGACCGAGGCUGCCGAAUCUGUGAACAGAGGGUGGGGAGAGAGGAGCGGCUGCUUCAAUGGGGUUCAGCGGAGGGAGGCUAGGGCUCGGCGGCGGCUCCGCCGCUGUUGUCCGGCCGAGGAUGGAGCAUGGGAGAUAGAGGGCGCCGGUGGCAGCCCGCCUCAUCUGUUGCUGCUGUCGACGGUGGCGCGGCUUGUCGCUGCUGCUCCUCCGGCGAGUACCACGGUGGGCGGCUGUUACCAGCCGAAGAGAGAAAGGCUGAGAGAGAGAGGUCGAGAGAGAGAUGACAGAUUUAGUUGUAUGCGUGUGUGUGUUAUGCGGCUGGGGGGAAGAAGAAGGGGGGGAGGGAGUGUGGGCUUUAGGUUUGGGUUUUGGGAAUUGGGUUUGAUUAAAUGGGCUGGGUUAUUUCUUAAUUUUGGGCCAAGUCAGUUGGGCCGAUUUUCUUUUAUUAAGUUGGGCCUCUGAUUAUUUUAAAUUAUGGGCUGCCCAAGUAUUAAUUUAAUUGGAUUUGUGUAGAUUUUAUUUAAAGGAGCUACACUAUUAUAAUUAAUUAGACUUAUUAAGUUUAAUUAAUUAUUUUCAAAGAGAAAAUUUUUAUAAUAAUAUUUAAUUAUUAUUAUAAGCAUAUUUUAAGUAAUUUCUUAUUAUAUGCCAAGCAUGACAUGAAUUUGCAUUAUAUUUUUGCAAUAAGAGUAUUUAAGAUUUAAUUGGUUUUAUUUAUAAUUCCAAUUACUAAAAAAAAAGAUGAGUAAGAAUAUUGUUGGUGUUCUUAACUCAAGAGAAAUGUUUUCAAUUAUUUAUUCAUUAAAUUUUGAAAACCCGGCUAAGUGAAUCAUAGAAUAUUAAGCACUUCACCAUGACUUAAGAUUAGAAUUCAAGGAGACCUAUUGAGAAUAGAUUUCUUGUAGGCUUUGAGCAACAGGAGGAUUAGCACUGCUAUUCCGAUUCAGAGAUAAGGUUAAACGACAGGCUUUGCCUAGACAGGUGGGCUUAUUUUCCAAAUGUAUACUUGAGUUAUUAAGCUCUAAAUGUUCAUGAAUUGAAAACUGUUUAUCCAAUAAAUAUUUUUGUGCGCUCUGUUAUGUUUAAGGCUCGCAAUUCAUGGAUCGAUCGAGGUUCUCUUAUGACCUAACACGUUGUUUGAGAAUUGUGUACACUUGUUAGUUGUUUCGGUGGGUUGAUCUCCAUCGGGCACUAAUUCAUGUCAGAGGCGUUAUAAGGGUGCUCGACUGGAUGUGUUCCGGAGCAUGUAUCAUGUAAGGCCUGCCUGGGUAGCGUCCCGAGGUCAAUUCAACUUGUCUGAGUUACGUCCUCAGGGCAAGUAUCAUGGGAGAAAGCCAUCCGUCGGUGGCUAAAAGGUCCGGGAUCACAGCGAGUAACAAAACAAAGUGUGACACGGCGCACAAAUAAAAGAAAUGAUUUAACAUACUUAGAAGUUAUUUUUGUUUUAAAACCUUCUAAGUUAUGUCAUGAAUGAUUGGAUAAACUGCUCUUACGAAUUGUGAAAUGUUUUAAAAGUUGCAGCCCACUAAGUACAUUAGUACUUAGCCCAAAUAUUUUCAAAUGUUUUUCAGGUUGAUGGCUGGUGCUGACGGGGAGAGCUGAGGCUAGGGUUCAACUCCGUG